rnacentral:rRNA from 1 species
CACGUAGGGGGCGAGCGUUGUCCGGAUUUAUUGGGCGUAAAGAGCUCGUAGGCGGUUCGGCAAGUCGGGUGUGAAAUUUCGAGGCUCAACCUCGAAACGCCACUCGAUACUGCUGUGACUGGAGUCCGGUAGAGGAGUGCGGAAUUCCUGGUGUAGCGGUGAAAUGCGCAGAUAUCGGGAGGAACACCGGUGGCGAAGGCGGUUCUCUGGGCCUGUACUGACGCUGAGGAGCGAAAGCGUGGGGAGCGAACAGG